GGGCGAUUAGUUCAGUUGGUUAGAACGCCUCGCUUACACCGAGGAGGGCGGCGGUUCGAGUCCGUCAUCGCCCA
rnacentral:tRNA from 1 species